GGGGGGGGGGGGCGGGGGGCGGGACAGGGGGAGGGCGGACGGGGGUGGGGCCCGGGUUUUGUUGGGGGUGGGGGGAGUGGCGAACGGGGGGGUGACACGGGAGUAACGUGCCCCGCACUGCGGGAUAACCGCGUGAAAGGGUGGGGAAUACGGGGGGGUCUGGCCGGCGCGCAUGGGGGGGGUUGGGAAGAUUCGACCGGGUUGGGUUGGUUUGGGGGGGGGUGGGCGCGCGGCCUAUGAGCUUGUUGGGGGGGGGAUGGCCUGCCAAGGCUUUGACGGGUAGCCGGCCUGAGAGGGUGGGCGGUCACACUGGGACUGAGACACGGCCCAGACUCCUACGGGAGGCAGCAGUGGGGAAUAUUGCACAAUGGGCGCAAGCCUGAUGCAGCGACGCCGCGUGAGGGAUGGAGGCCUUCGGGUUGUGAACCUCUUUCGCCAGUGAAGAAGGUCCUGCUCUUUGUGGUGGGGUUGACGGUAGCUGGGUUAAUGAAGCGCCGGCUAACUACGUG
rnacentral:rRNA from 1 species